rnacentral:rRNA from 1 species
GACGAACGCUGGCGGCGUGCUUAACACAUGCAAGUCGAACGGUAAGGCCCUUCGGGGUACACGAGUGGCGAACGGGUGAGUAACACGUGGGUGAUCUGCCCUGCACUUCGGGAUAAGCCUGGGAAACUGGGUCUAAUACCGGAUAGGACUCCGGACUGCAUGGUCUGGGGUGGAAAGCUUUUGCGGUGUGGGAUGGGCCCGCGGCCUAUCAGCUUGUUGGUGGGGUGAUGGCCUGCCAAGGCGACGACGGGUAGCCGGCCUGAGAGGGUGACCGGCCACACGGGGACUGAGAUACGGCCCAGACUCCGACGGGAGGCAGCAGUGGGGAAUAUUGCACCAUGGGCGCAAGCCUGAUGCAGCGACGCCGCGUGAGGGAUGACGGCCUUCGGGUUGUAAACCUCUUUCAGCAUCGACGAAGCGAAAGUGACGGUAGGUGCAGAAGAAGGACCGGCCAACUACGUGCCAGCCGCCGCCGUAA